UUUGAUUUUAUGGCUUUAUUAAUGAACUUUGGACCAUUUUAUUGUAUGAAAACCAAUAAAUCACUGUUGGAUGUUUCCAGUACAACUUAGGUUAAACAAAUAAUUGUUUUAGUCACAGACUAACCUAGAUAGCUUUUCUAUGUACCUAAUUGAGCUAAAGUUUGUUCCUAACCAUGAAGUUUCUAAUUUUUACAUCUUGAUUACUUUAAAAAAAUAUGUAACUAUAAAUAAAAAAUUUCAUAAAAAACAAUCAAUUUAGCACUUACUCUAGGAUUCAGGCUAUUUGUUACCCAGAUACAUAUUUUACUAACCCUACUUCUUUCUCCCAGCUGGUUGCCCGAAAAGUAAUAAUGCAGAUUUAAAAUAUCCAUCUUCAAAAACAAAAAAAUAUAUUGGGCACUAUAGUAGCAUAUCCCAAGACUACUAUGAUUUAUCUGUCUUUCUAACUAAGCCAUAAAUAGGCUUAAAAAAAUACUAUUCAGAGCAAUGACUUUACUUAACGCACACAAACCUUUUUUUUUGCAAGCUGCCAUCUUUGAUCACUAAUACUAAAUAAAAGAACUGAACAUUACUGUACACUACACUAUGUUUUUUCUAUUGUUAAAGUUAUGAAAUCUAAAAUGGAGAAUUUAUAGAGGGCAUACAUAUCACAUGACACAGAAAAGUGAAGGUUAAGUUUUUUUCACAUUUCCUUUUGAAAUAAGGAAAUUAAAACAUAGAUCUUAGAUCUGAAUUUUUUGGUUACGCAUCUGCAAAUGAUAUUGUCAAAUGAUUUAAGGAAAGAACUGGUGAAUUAAAUCCCAGUAAAAUGCUGCAAAUAUUGGUGGAUAGACCUUCAAUAAACUUCAGUUUUCUUAGCAAGCUGAUAACAGACAGAAACACCACUGAUCCUUACAUGGUAGUUGUUCUCUGCACAUUGUGCAUGGGGCACUUAGCACUGGAAUACAAAUGUCUGGUUGGCAGGUGGAGAAGCUGUUACAGAGUCUAUUGACCUGUUUGAGGAUGUUCCAACCAACCGAGAAGAUUUUGUUUUGAUUAAUAAGAGUAAUGUUUUCCCAAAGUCAUUUUGUGCUACCUAAACAUAAUGAAGUACGUAUAGAAAAUGCCAAAAUCUAAGAUCCCAUCCUGUGAAUCUUUAAAAACGGUUAGAGAGAUUGCCAUGACAGACUAUCUAAUCCUUGCCAAACUUGAGUUCCUAGUGUGCAUUUCUAAAAGGCUAGAGCCAUUUCUUAAGAAAUACCAGAAAGACUGGCUCAUGACACCUUUACUAGCAUGUGACCUGGAGCUGCUCUUGUGUGGGCUUAUGGGAAGCUUCAUCAAGACUGACAAAUUGACAAAAGCUACUUCUGCCACAAAGUUGUUCAAUCUGGAUGUCAACAAAGAUGAGAAUCUGAAAUCUUCUAAACAACUUGAUAUUGAAUUUGGAGCCAAUAGUGCUUUGUAGAAGCUACCAAGAGAAAAACUGAGUGAGCUGAAAAAACUAGAAUUCUUCACUCAGUACAAGGAUAUGAUUAAUGCAGCCAUUGAAAUCAUUGAGAGAUCACCCCUGAAGUAUUCCAUCAUAAGAGGAUUAAUGGCACUAGAUCCAAGGUACAUGGUAUCAAGUCCACCAUCUUCAUCUGAAAAGUUUUCCAAAGUACUCCAAAAGUUGGGUGAGUGCAAAUGAUUACAGCAUGAUGAAUGUGACACAAUUCUCUGCCAAUACAGAGAGCUUGCUGCUACCUUACAGAGGGAUGUUAAGGUUGACUGUGAAUCAUUCAAUCCAUCUGUCACAAGGCUAGUUAGAUGUGUUCUACACUGACACCAUCAGUCUUGACAAAAGCAACAGUUCCAAGAACUUUGAAGUGUUUUCCUAAUGAUGUUCACCCUGUCUCAUGGCCAAGCAUCUGUAGAAAGAAUUCCUGAUUACUCAUCAUCUCAUACACAAUUCCUUGACAUCAGCCAAAAUGAAGGAUCCUGUGAAGUUCCAUGUGCCUCCAGACUUCUUGUGGUGACAGUGAAAUGUUGGCCACAAGAGUUACCCCAGCAAAAGGAAAGGAUCAAACUACUGAUGACACCUCCGCCACCAUAGUCCCAACAGUGAUGGAAAUACCAAUUAUAAAGCAGCACUACCAGGAAAUGGCCCCCAAAUGAUGGGACCAUGGGAAGAGGAUUGACUCUGACAGUGCUCCACACCACCUUCCCAUUUGUCUGCCAAUUAUUGACAACUCUAGAUCAGACCAGAUGGCAUUAACCUAGGCUAAAGCGGUAAUCCAGAGCAUGCCACUGGUCAAUCAAAAAUACAGCAGUUUUGAAAGAUCUGUUGUCAAGGCUCAGUUACGGGUGAGGGAAGUUGAAACUUAUGCUAAAUGCUAAGGGCUCAUCAGGCUGGCUGGUAUAUGACUAACUUAGCAGCGGUUUAGGCUCUAUUUAUAUCAUCAGUUCCAUGGACAACAACAGUAAUGGUAUGAACUUGAUAAAAUAACUGAAGUAACAUAUGAGAAGACAGAACUGGACAGGAAGUCCUGGGGUUAAGCAGACAAUAAAUGAUGGAUGGAACAAAAUGCCUGAUUGCCUCCAACUUUGGUACAAAUUCCAAGGGCACUUAGCAAAAAGACUUACUAUUGCUAACCGAACAGAAGGUUUCACAGAGCUUUACGAGAGCAAAGCCACUACCCGUGGCAGAAAGUACAUGCCACUGGCAGUUGACAAAUUUGAAGAGAAGUAUAGGUCUGCAGAAGAAUUAUGGUCCAUGUGAAGUUCUACCCAUAAAACUUUUGUUUUCCAGUGUAUUGAAUUUAUCAAUAAAGAGGAAGAUUAUUCCUGACUUCAAGUAA